AGAGCUCCGUAUAAGCGUUUACAUUCAAUUACAGAACAGGACGAGGACACGGGGACACGGGGACACGGACACAGAUACACACCUGGUUUGUGGAGGAAUAUCCUGUUCUCCACCGGCUCACGCAGGAUUUUCUUCAGGUCAGAUCUUCACAGAAUUCCUCUGGUCAGCGUGCCCAGGUUCUUACCUGUAAGAAGUCCAGAGAGUGAGAUCUGGCCAACAGAGCGUCCAUGGCCUCUCGCUCGUCCCUCUGCAGCAUGUCCCGGAUCUGCUGAUACUCGGCCUCCAGAGCGCGCUUACGCACCGCCAACAUGUCCUGCAGAGGAACGCCGGAUCGGGUCAGCUACGGGGAAACACUCACGAG